GGGAAUAUCUACAUGCUCAGGAAGAGGAGGUGAAUGUCACUUCUGGAACUCUGCACUAAUACUCUUCAUGUCCCACUUGCUCCUCCAGAAGGAGAUAAAGAGCAUUGGACACUGGACAAACAAUAUAAAUGGCAUGCCCCUGGUAGGCAAGCAAGCUACUUCCCGGGAAACACAGGGACUUCAAUUCAAAAAGCUGUUGUGCUUCUAAGCAUCUUACACUGGAGGAUGGGGUGAGAUUUCAAACCUGGUGCAGAGUUUUUUCAUGCUGGGCUGGAUUCAUCUACCCCUCAGUUUAGCAGAUACUUCACAAAAUUUCAACCCUUCUCAGCUGUGUGUGCAGGAAGCUAUUUCUCCAUACUUUCCUCAACAUUUGGUAAUAGCAAAGGGCAAAAGAUAUGUCUACAUUUCAAUGGAAAGGGGAGCACAUAUAUAGACAAGAUCGGCCAUUUGUUAAUCAUUUUUGAAGCUGGCUAUUGGAAAGCUUUUCUGCUGAAGACUUACUAACAUAGGAUCUGGUGUUUUAUUCCAAGUUAUCUCAAUUUUUAAAUUACUAAUGCUCGUUUCUGACCAGGAUGUGAAUCAUUGAAAGAAAAGAACAUUAAAAUAUUGGAAAAUCUCAUAUUGCACUGAAAACUUGAGGAGGAAGCUAGCUCUAUGGGACACAUUUUGAGGAAUUUCUGACAGAACGUUUUGCGAACAAGACUAAAGGAAGCCAGAGAGAGUCAUCGUGCAACAGCUUUGGGAGAAAGUAAUAUUCACUGGCAGGAAAAAGAGGAUCCUCUGCUUCCAGACUGUGGUUGACCCCAGGGAAAGAGAAACCAUGGAUAAGGGAGGACUGCUGUACGGAUUCAUUUCAGUCUUCAUGACAUCAUUUUAUGGAUGAGAAGAUCAAAGAACAGAGAGGUUAAACAAAUUGCACAAGUGUCCACAGCUUGUGACUGCAGAGCUGUGGCCAGAAAUCAGUCUGUAUACAGUCCUGCUCUUAACUACUUCACUGUACUAUUUCUCCAAAUAAAAUAAAAUAUG